rnacentral:tRNA from 1 species
AAGGAUUUAGGUUAAGCAACAAACUAGCAACCUUCAAAGUUGCAUAUAGAGGGCAUCUCUAAGCCUUA